AGGGGUAUAGUGUUAAUGGCAGCACGACGGUCUCCAAAACCGUUAGUCCGGGUUCGAAUCCUGGUACCCCUG
rnacentral:tRNA from 1 species